GUUCAAGUAUAACACCUACAUCUGGUGCCGUGAAGUUGCUGUUCAUUCAUGAAAUGCCAUCCAUUCUGUAAUAGGAAUAAAACCAUUUGCUUGCCCUCACGAAGGAUGCGAAGCCAGAUACACUAUCCGACCCGACCUGAAAGACCAUAUCAGGAAAGUCCAUACCAGAGAACGACCUUUCAAGUGCAACGUUUGCGAUAAGUGCUUUCUGACCGGCUCCGUUUACUACCAGCACCGGUUGAUACACACCAACGACAGGAGAUAUGCGUGCGACUUGUGCCCGAAACGUUUCUUCAGAGCCGACGCUUUGAACAAUCACAGGAGAAUCCAUACAGAUGAAAGACCUUAUCCAUGCCAUGUUUGCGGAAGAGAGUUCAGACAGAAAGGAGACCGGAACAAGCAUUUGCGAACCCAGCAUCCGGACAGCUUUCUAGUUUAGGAGUGUUACUUUGCAGUUUUAAAUAGUAUUUUAAGGGUUUUUGUUCAUCUUUUUGUUCAAGCAGUUGAGAAUGUAUUGAUUUAAGGCAAUUCUACACCUUUCGAUCCCAUCCGAUUUAUCUGGAAUCAUUUAUGAAAUUCAUUCCCGCCAUACUUUUCGCAAUGCAAACGUGUUUGUGAUUUUCUAUCUAUAGAAAUAUGACUCCUACAUUAACAUAACUACAGAAAGUUCCAAUGGGAAUAAUAAUAUCGAAUAGAGUAAUUAAUACACGUGACAGGAGAAACAUUAAGAGGAAUGAUAAUGAAAUUCACUUACAAUGAAAAAAUUUCACGCCUCUGAAAAUGAUAAAGGUUUUGAGAUCUUAUCAUUUUCGAACGAAUGAACGAAGAAUGUUUCUUACAAUUAAUGACUAUGCUUCAUUCAUCCAAAAGCAAUAUACUUCGAGACGUCGUGAAUGCCAAAGAAAAUCUAACAGCGAAUUUGUGAUCCUUAGCUUCAGGUUGCAGCUAUGUAGACUUACUUUUACAAGUUCAAAUUGACUGGGGGAAAA